rnacentral:rRNA from 1 species
UACGUAGGGGGGCAAGCGUUGUCCGGAUUCAUUGGGCGUAAAGGGCGCGUAGGUGGCCUGGUCAGCGUGCGGUGAAAGCUCGGGGCUCAACCCCGCGUCGGCCGUGCGAACUGCUGGGCUGGAGCACUGUAGAGGCAGGCGGAAUUCCGGGUGUAGCGGUGGAAUGCGUAGAGAUCCGGAAGAACACCGGUGGCGAAGGCGGCCUGCGUGGGCAGU